rnacentral:rRNA from 1 species
CCUACGGGUGGCAGCAGUAGGGAAUCUUCCACAAUGGGCGAAAGCCUGAUGGAGCAACGCCGCGUGGGUGAAGAAGGUCUUCGGAUCGUAAAACCCUGUUGUUAGAGAAGAAAGUGCGUGAGAGUAACUGUUCACGUUUCGACGGUAUCUAACCAGAAAGCCACGGCUAACUACGUGCCAGCAGCCGCGGGAAUACGUAGGUGGCAAGCGUUAUCCGGAUUUAUUGGGCGUAAAGGGAACGCAAGGGGUCUUUUAAGUCUGAUGUGAAAGCCUUCGGCUUAACCGGAAUAGUGCAUUGGAAACUGUGAGACGUGAGUGCAGAAGAGGAGAGUGGAACUCCAUGUGUAGCGGUGAAAUGCGUAGAUAUAUGGAAGAACACCAGUGGCGAAAGCGGCUCUCUGGUCUGUAACUGACGCUGAGGUUCGAAAGCGUGGGUAGCAAACAGGAUUAGAUACCCCAGUAGUC